rnacentral:rRNA from 1 species
CCCCUAGAUGUUCUGGGCCGCACGCGCGCUACACUGAACAGUUCAACAAGUCUUAACCUUGGCCGAUAGGUCUGGGUAAUCUUUGAACGCUGUUCGUGAUUGGGAUAGACCUUUGCAAUUAUGGGUCUUCAACGAGGAAUUCCUAGUAAACGCAAGUCAUCAGCUUGCAUUGAUUACGUCCCUGCCCUUUGUCCACACCGCCCGUCGCACCUACCGAUUGAAUGGUCCGGUGAAAUCUCGGGACGGCGGCUUGGUCGCUUGCGUCCGACUGCUGAAACUUGAUUAAACCAUAUCAUUUAGAGGAAGGUGAAGUCGUAACA